rnacentral:rRNA from 1 species
GAUGAACGCUGGCGGCGUGCCUAAUACAUGCAAGUCGAGCGAACGGACGAUAAGCUUGCUUUUCUGAUGUUAGCGGCGGACGGGUGAGUAACACGUGGAUAACCUACCUAUAAGACUGGGAUAACUUCGGGAAACCGGAGCUAAUACCGGAUAAUAUUUUGAACCGCAUGGUUCAAAAGUGAAAGACGGUCUUGCUGUCACUUAUAGAUGGAUCCGCGCUGCAUUAGCUAGUUGGUAAGGUAACGGCUUACCAAGGCAACGAUGCAUAGCCGACCUGAGAGGGUGAUCGGCUACACUGGAACUGAGACACGGUCCAGACUCCUACGGGAGGCAGCCGUAGGGAAUCUUCCGGCAUGGGCGAAAGCCUGACGGAGCAACGCCGCGUGAGUGAUGAAGGUCUUCGGAUCGGAAAACUCUGUUAUUAGGGAAGAACAUAUGUGUAAGUAACUGUGCACAUCUUGACGGUAACUAAUCAGAAAGCCACGGCUAACUACGGG